rnacentral:rRNA from 1 species
AUGAACGCUGGCGGCGUGGAUAAGGCAUGCAAGUCGGACGAUUUCCUUUUUUGAAGAAGAUGCGAUUACAUCAAGUCAACUGAUAUUUUGGAGAUAGUGGCGAACGAGCUAGUAACACCUUGGUACGUACCCAAAAGUUUGGUAUAGCUCGCCGAAAGGCGGGGUAAUCCCGAAUAAUCCCUCUAUCUAUCGGAUAGAAGGGUAAAGUCGCAAGACGCUUUUGGAGCGGCCUAGGACCGAUCAGUUAGUUGGUGAGGUAAUGGCUCACCAAGACGAUGACCGGUAGGGG